CUACACUCACACUCUCAGUUUCGUUCGGUUCUGCCAUUGUACACACUCAGCAUUCAUCCGGCUUAUCACUGCUUCUCUCCAGUAGUACGCAUCACUUAUCGAGAUUGCAACAAAAAGGCCAAUUUUAUUCUGCACUUGUGCUGUUGUUGUUAACGUGCCGCUAAAUAUUAGUACUCCCUUCAGUACGCGUGUUACCAAACCCCCGUCAAAGACCCAAAUAAAAA